GACGUAGGGCGCGAGCGUUGUCCGGAUUUAUUGGGCGUAAAGAGCUCGUAGGCGGUUUGUCGCGUCUGCUGAUGGAAAGCCCGGGGCUCAACCCCGGGUCUGCAGUGGGUACGGGCAGACUAGAGUGCAGUAGGGGAGACUGGAAUUCCGUGGUGUAGCGGUGAAAUGCGCAGAUAUCAGGAGGAACACCGAUGGCGAAGGCAGGUCUCUGGGCUGUAACUGACGCUGAGGAGCGAAAGCAUGGGGAGCGAACAGG
rnacentral:rRNA from 1 species